ACUAGUUUCAUCCUAAAUAUCUGAGAUGGUUACAUUUAAUGUAGCACUUGAAAGUAGCGGGUUGCUCAGUUUCUUCACUUCACUACAAUAUCAGCAAAAUUUAGCAAAAGUUAUACAAUAAACAGUUAUACUACUACAUCACUAACUGGUAUAUUAUUGAUGUAAAUGCUGUUUUUUUUUUUGUUGUUGUGUGUUUACAACAAUAUAGAUCUCUUUACAUUCCAGUAGGGGACCAGACUUGUAACUCUUUGAAGAUUGUUCUUCAUUACUGAGUAAAACUUUUGUAAUUGUAUUUUUAGACAAUAAUAAAAAGAUCUAAGAUCUUUCUCCUGCUUUUCCUUCUUUGUUGUUCUGUGUACUGGUAGAAAUGAAGGGAGAGAAUAUCAGUAAAUCACCUGAUCUGUUGGUAAAAUGGAAUAAAUGAACUCUUUUACUCAA